AGCAGCCGCGGUAAUUCCAGCUCCAAUAGCGUAUAUUAAAGUUGUUGCAGUUAAAAAAGCUCGUAGUUGAAUUUCGGGGUUUAUCCGUCGGUCGGGCUUUCGGGUUUGUACUGGCGUGAUGGAUUCCUACCUUCUGAAUAACCGGCAUGUCAUUAAUUUGGUGCGCCGGGGAAGCAGGACUGUUACCUUGAAAAAAUUAGAGUGCUUAAAAGCAGGCUUAUGCCUGAAUACAUUAGCAUGGAAUAAUGAAAUAGGACGGCAUGGUUCUAUUUUGUUGGUUUCUAGGAUCACCGUAAUGAUUAAUAGGGAUAGUUGGGGGCAUUAGUAUUCAAUUGUCAGAGGUGAAAUUCUUGGAUUUAUUGAAGACUAACUUCUGCGAAAGCAUUUGCCAAGGAUGUUUUCAUUAAUCAAGAACGAAAGUUAGGGGAUACGAAGACGAUCAGAUACCGUCGUAGUCUUAACCAUAAACUAAUGCCGACUAGGGAUCGGACGAUGUUAAUUUUUUAAUGUAACUUCGUUC
rnacentral:rRNA from 1 species